rnacentral:rRNA from 1 species
AUUGAACGCUGGCGGCAUGCCUUACACAUGCAAGUCGAACGGCAGCGGACCUUCGGGUGCCGGCGAGUGGCGAACGGGUGAGUAAUGCAUCGGAACGUACCUUUCAGUGGGGGAUAACGUAGCGAAAGUUACGCUAAUACCGCAUAUUCUGUGAGCAGGAAAGCAGGGGAUCGCAAGACCUUGCGUUGAUUGAGCGGCCGAUGUCAGAUUAGCUAGUUGGUGAGGUAAAGGCUCACCAAGGCGACGAUCUGUAGCGGGUCUGAGAGGAUGAUCCGCCACACUGGAACUGAGACACGGUCCAGACUCCUACGGGAGGCAGCAGUGGGGAAUUUUGGACAAUGGGGGCAACCCUGAUCCAGCCAUGCCGCGUGAGUGAAGAAGGCCUUCGGGUUGUAAAGCUCUUUCGGCCGGGAAGAAAUCGCACGGGCUAAUACCCUGUGUGGAUGACGGUACCGGAAUAAGAAGCACCGGCUAACUACGUGCCAGCCGCCGCAUAACAC